rnacentral:rRNA from 1 species
ACACUCCUACGGGAGGCAGCAGUGGGGAAUUUUACGCAAUGGGGGAAACCCUGACGUAGCGACACCGCGUGAGCGAAGAAGCCCUUUGGGGUGUAAAGCUCUGUCAGCUGGAACGAAAACAAUGACGGUACCAGCAGAGGAAGCAUCGGCUAACUACGUGCCAGCAGCCGCGGUAAGACGUAGGAUGCGAGCGUUGUCCGGAUUUAUUGGGCGUAAAGAGUUCGUAGGUGGUUUGUUAAGUUUGGUGUUAAAGAUCGGGGCUCAACCCUGGGACUGCACUGAAUACUGGCAGACUCGAGUGUGGUAGAGGCUAGUGGAAUUCCCAGUGUAGCGGUGAAAUGCGUAGAUAUUGGGAAGAACACCGGUGGCGUAGGCGACUAGCUGGGCCAUAACUGACGCUGAGGAACGAAAGCCAGGGGAGCGAAUGGGAUUAGAUACCCGAGUAGUCCCA